rnacentral:ncRNA from 2 species
AGUCCCAGCCCUGCUAUAGGUGCCCUUUGGCGUAAUUGGGAAGCUCGGUGAAAAUCCAGCGCUGCCCCCGCAACGGUAAACAAUGCUAAGCAUUGAAGCCCGAUACCUGCCGAUAGUAGUUCGUAGAU